GUGGAGGGAUGAAGAUGAAGGCGCAGCUCCAGUUUGAGCUUAGUCCUGCAUUAAUCCAGCCCAACCCCUUGCAGAGGCAGCAUUAUCCCAACUCCCACUGGUGUUAGUGGGAGAUUUCAGCGUGGCUGGGUGGUGGCAUUUGAAGGAGGAUUUAUGGUUCCCGUUGUCUGCAUGAUUUCUGUGGGAAGGUGUGAAGGCACCUUGAGCAGAGUCACCACACUCAUUCUGUCACCUGGAUGCCAGGUGUGACUCGGUCUUGUCAUUCAGUGAUUUCUUGGGUGACUUCACAUAAAAAAACCCAGAGUUUGGAGCGCCAUCUCCCUUCCGUGGCUCUUUCCAUCCCCACCUCUCCUACACCAGCUCUGCCCAUGGCUGGGCGGGAUGGCUGCAGGAGGAGGAUCCCAGAGGAGGGCAGGGAUGCUCCCGUGUCCUGCAGCCCCCGUGUGUCCCUGCAGGGCCCGGCGUACAACAGGCACACCCUGCCCGGGGACAGCGAGCCCACGGAGCGGGCCAAGGAGAUCCUGAUCCUGCGGCACACGAACCUGCUGGUGGAGAUGGCCGGGAGCGACACCUGCAGCUCCAGGAAGGAGUCCCAGAAGGAGGACUCGUGCUCGGCGCAGGGUGAGGCCACCCCGCAGGCCAGGCUCUGCCGCUCCUUCACGGUGGGGAACACGGAGAAGGUUCGGGAGGUGAAGGAGAACCGAUCCAAGUCCGUGUGUGCGAUCCCACUGGCCCAGCCCAGCGGCCAGGCCUGGGGCGGGAGGAAGGAGCUGUCUCUGGAGAUGUACAAACACAAGGGAUGCUCUGGCUCCCCAGGAGGGGUCUGACUCCUGCAGGGAGAGCUGCUGGACAUGUAGAUAAUGUAAAUAAGAUCCACGUUGGAAAGGACAGAGGGGACAGGGUGGAAUACCCAGAGUGGUUUGCAUGGAAAGUCACUCUUAUUGCCCAGUGUUGGGUUUUCAGUGGGAACUGAGGGAAAAGAUGCCCAGCUGAGCAUCAGCAAUGCCAGGGAAUGGCUGAGGGCACAUUUCUAAGGAAUUUAUAGGAAAAAUUAGCCUCUUCAGUCUGGGAAAAUUGCUGAAACUGCCUCCAACUGCAAGGAAGGAUGUUUAAAUAAGGUGAGAUAUGGGAUCUUCUCAUUAGUUUUCAGGGAUAGCCUAAACAGCAGGGAGCAUUUGGAUUAUAGGUUGGGAAAAAUUUGCUAAUCUCAAAGAAGGUUUUAUUAGAAGAUGGAGGAAAGAGCAGAAACAGCAACAGAUUUCUUCUUCUCCUCAGGAACUGGUGGACCCUAGCUAUAAACAUUAAUCUCAUGAAGCCCAAAGUUAAAUGACAUAGUUAAAUAAGGGGUUGUGUCUUACCUGAGGGAUUGUCCCAUACGCAGCCACAAUUCUGCUACUGAAAAAUUAUUACAGCUGAGUUAAAAGGGAGAAAUAUGUUCUAACUGGUUUUUGAAAAUAUAUGUAAGGAAUGAUUCACCUCAAAGUAAAAAUGAGGAGGCUCCAAACCCAGUGGUGAUAGCAGGAGAUGAGGGUGACAGCCCUUAAAUAGAAGGGAAAUGUUUCUGAUGUGGUUGGUUGGUCAUAUUAAUCCUGUAAAGAUAUUUUGGGAUGAUCUGUGCUGCCAUAGCUGGGAGCUGUGGGUUUAGAGGGGUUUGAAAGUGCCAAGAGGGUGACCCAAACCCUGGCUGCUACUUCCAGGAAAGGUGUGAGCCCUUUGCACAGCAGAUGCAGGUGAACUCUGGAGAUAGGACCUGAGGAAGACAGGUAGCCCCAGCUUUGGGUAAGUUCAAGCCUUUGAAUUCUUGUCCUUAUUGAACCUGACAGGACAAGUUUUAAUUUUGUGUUGACAUUUUUCUUUCUCUUCUCUUUCCUCUGAUCUAAGAGUGUUUAAUCUGACCGAGUGGCUCUUUUUGAAACAGCAUUAAAAGAAACUAGGAAUUCACAGACUCCUCCCCAUGAUAUUUUUGGGCAUGAAGAACCAGUCUCCUGUGUGCAGAAAUAUUCCCUUAGGAGGCCCCUGCAUGGUACAUUCGGGCUUUCAUUUUAAAUUAAAGGCACAAAUUUGUGUGAAUUUGCUUCGCAAUGAUCCAAGAUCACAUUUUCUUCUGAAAAAACCCCUUUAUGGUGUCCUGACAUAAGCUGAGGAGGUUCGUGUUGACUUGAAGGUCACUCCAUCCUGGAAAUUCACUUCAUUGCAAAGGAAAAUUUGAACUUUUAGCAAUAGAUAUAUGUUUUACAUGUGUAUAUACAUAUAUGUACAUAUGCACUGAUUUGAAUAUAGGCUCAUUGUCAUCUUCUGUUAAUUGAUUACAAUUUUGGUUUGUUUUCUAGUUUAAUCCAUGUGCAUGGGAGCCAUGUGGGUUUGGCUGUACUUGGUUUAGAAAACAGCCCAUCUUCAAGUAUGUUGUGAUACAUGAUACAAUCUAAGACAUUUAUGAAUAUGUUGCAGUGUUCUACAUUUCCAUUUCAAUUAAACUCGCUGUGUUAUGGG
ensembl:lncRNA